GAUGAACGCUGGCGGCGUGCCUAACACAUGCAAGUCGAGCGAUUCUYUUYGGAGAAGAGCGGCGGACGGGUGAGUAACGCGUGGGUAACCUACCCUGUACACACGGAUAACAUACCGAAAGGUAUGMUAAUACGGGAUGAUAUAUAGAAAUCGCAUGAUUUUUAUAUCAAAGAUUUAUCGGUACAGGAUGGACCCGCGUMUGAUUAGCUUGUUGGCGGGGUAMCGGCCCACCAAGGCGACGAUCAGUAGCCGACCUGAGAGGGUGAUCGGCCACAUUGGAAYUGAGACACGGUCCAAACUCCUACGGGAGGCAGCAGUGGGGAAUAUUGCACAAUGGGCGCAAGCCUGAUGCAGCAACGCCGCGUGAGCGAUGAAGGCCUUCGGGUMGUAAAGCUYUGUCCUCAAGGAAGAUAAUGACGGKACUKAGUAUUAAKCWCCMU
rnacentral:rRNA from 1 species